GAUAGCUUGUCACCCGCUUGAACCUGUUUCACCUCUCUCUCCAGCACAAGUGUCUGGGCCAAUUAAUCCAGACCCACCCUUUUUUAAUCUGUGGGAGGAUUGGGGAGGAACACAACUGGGCGCUGCUACCGCUGAGUUCGUCGAAGGCUAAUGGCCAUCUCGCGCUGCACAUCGAGCGGCGGUGCGCCCAGCUGCUGAUUAACCGAUCUCUCUCUCUCUCUAAACCACGCCCGUCUUGAAUCUGUUGCAUCUCUCUCUCUCUCUCUCUCUCUCUCUCUCAGAAGUCAGGGAUGGAGGCAGAGCAAGCCCCUCCACCAUCUUCCUCUGCUCCAUCCUCCUCUUCCUCUGCAUCAUCUUCUUCAUCCUCUAUCACUGAUAGCGUUCCAACCUCAUCAUCGCCCUUCUCGACUGUUGCCCCCACUCCUUCCCCAUCCUUUUCCACCACUCCCGUCAGCGCCACAGCCACCACCAUGGCCACUUCCACGGCCACAUCUGACACCACUGCCACCGUCACCACCACCACCUCCACCCAAAUGAUAGAUAUACCACCAAUACUAGGAGCCACUCCCACCACCACUACUUCUACUGGUGAAACAAAUUCUCUGACGUCCACCAGUAUCAGCAGCACCACCACCGGUCCAACUGCCGCUACCACCAUUUCCACCACCACCACGACCAUCACCACUUCUCCAUUCUCUACUUUCGACCACCAACCACCAUCAAAUGCACUUCCAUUGAGACCUUCUUUCCCAAUCAACAGGAAUCGGCCUCAAAUGCCACCUCCAAUGCCAUCUCCCCACUUCGCCCAGCACCUUCCUUCUCCGUCCCCGCCCCCUCUUCCCUUUUCGUCGUCAUCACCAGCUUCUUCGUCAUCGGUGGGUGUGCCUUCCUUGUUGGCUUCUUCUUCAUCAUCGUCGUCUUCUUUAUCUUCAUCCUCAUCAUCAUCUUCUCCUCCUCCUCCUCCUCCUUCUGCUACGUCUCCUUCCUCCUCUUCCUCCCCUCUCCAAAGAGGGGGGCUCGCCAUUGGUGUCCCUGCUUAUCCUCCCCGACCUCAGUCCACCUCUUUGCUGCCAUCGUCGACGUUCGGUUCACCCCCUUUUGGUCACCAACUCGGUAGCUUGGGCAGAAUUUCGGAUCAGACGCAGAGCGCCAGCCCUCAGGUAAGACCAGGCAUUCAAGGAAUUCAGACAAUCGGGAUGAUGGGUGCACUUUCAGGCUCACAAAUUCGUCCAGGUGCAGCUGCUGCACAUCUUCCACCAAGACCUGCUCAGCAGCAACUGAGACCACAGUCUCCUUCGAGUAACCAACCCUCGGCACCUCAGAAGCAGCAGGGUCCGGGAUUAUCAAGAGGAUCUUCAUUUGGUCCAGGCAAUUCUCAACCACCCAGCAUGCCACAUAGUCCACAGUCCCAUACACAACCAUGGAUGUCAACACAAGGAAGAUCAGUGCCUGCAUCUGUCCUGUCUUCUGCUUCUUACAGACCACAAUUUCGAUCAUCUAUCUUGCAACAAAGAUCAACAAACCCCCAGCAACAGCAGAAUCCUAUGGCAGUUGCACCCCAGCAGCAGCAGCAGCAGGAAAAUGCAUCUUCACAACAACAGCAGCAACAACAACAACAACAACCUCAGCAGCAGCAGCAGCAGCAGCUACAACAACAACAACAACCUCAGAAAAACACAUCACAAAUGCAACAUGCUGCAGAAAAUUAUCCUCAAAUGCAUCAACCAUCUCGGAUGCAUCCUGUGUUGCAACCACAGCAAGGGCUGCGACCUCAAGGAUCAAUACAGAAAUCAAUUACUCCACCUAGCGUGCCAUCAGCUCCUCAUGGAUCUCUUGCGCCAACCAAAGCUUCUGAAGCUGUUGAAACGGGCAAUCAAAUUCUUUCCAAGAGAAGCAUCCAUGAGCUACUAGCCCAGAUUGAUCCAUUGGAGAGGUUGGAUCCAGAAGUUGAAGAUGUUCUGGCAGAGAUUGCUGAUGAUUUUGUUGAAUCUAUAACAACUUUUGCUUGUUCCUUGGCCAAACAUCGCAAAUCAACUACAUUAGAAGCAAAAGACAUACUUUUACACAUGGAGAGAAACUGGAAUAUGACACUCCCAGGAUUUAGUGCGGAUGAGAUUAAGAUCUUUAAGAAGCCUCCUGUGAACGAUAUCCACAAGCAACGAAUGGUCGCUGUAAGUUUAGUCCUUCCGCUAUAAAAUUGUUAAUGUAUGUUGACCUAUUAAUGAUCUAAUUGACUUCAUCUCUACUACUUGGCCUGAUCUUGAACUGGUCUGCAUACCCAUGGAUUUGGGGACAAACAAGAAUCGAUGAUAGAGGGACACAACUGCUUCAGUUAUUUGAUUGAACUGACAUCUUUUACAUGGUUUAUCUGGCACCCAAAUUGGUUCAGGACUAAGUGACAUGGACUUGCCUAAAAGUUUGCCCCAUUGGAGUUGACAUGUCUUAGGUGCAGGCUACUGCUCUGGUGCGGUAAAAUUAUCAGUCAAACUGACUGCACCAGACUGUUUUUUUUCGAAAAUAAAUGUGUAUGUUUGAGUUCAUGGUGGGUCAAGAGUGGUCGAACUAGGUCAGGUAUGCACCUGGACUAUUUGUGUCCAAGAAACAAGACAAUGUUGGCUGAGUCUAUAUUUGUCGUUUUUUAGCUAAACAAAUAAAGAAAACUAUAAAAGGGGUAGGGCAUGUUCCUCAACUGUUGCUCCUGCUCUCCCACUCUUGGUGCCGUCUCUCCCUCAGUUUCUUUUUUCUCAUGCUCUGCCUCACUCCAUUAUAUUGCAUCAGCAGCGAGAUUCUCUUUCAUUCUCGCAAUGUCACUCUCACUCUGCGUCUCUCUUGCAAAUUUCAUUAGAUGCAGCAGACCUGGUCAUGGCCAGCUCUCGAUGUAAUGCGCUCUUCUGUAGCCAAAGACUCUCUCCCUCUGCAAUAUGUUUUUGGAAAAUUAUUAGUCGAUUUUCGGAUCUAUAUUAAUAUGUCUGUAGCAUUCUUAUGUUUCAUAUGGCCUAGGACUUUUUGAUGUGGCAUAUUUUGUUAGAACUGAAUAUAUUUUAUGGCGUUCAUUUUGAGACUAUAUUUGUUGUUUUUUGGCAUGCUCGAUUGUGUGUGUGUGUGUAUUCACUCUGCCGGCUGCCAAGUUUUUCUGAAAAUUGUUGUCUGGACACGCACCCUGCACCUAUGUGACAGGUUCUGGAAGGUCUCCAAUCUCUCUUAAUUACCAUGCUGUGGACAAGAAAGGACGUACUAGAACAUUCUCGCAGUACAUUUAGGCAUUUAGUUUAUCCGUGUUCCUCAUUCUUCAAGACCUUAUCAAGAAAUCAUAUAUCACUACCCAGGCUACGGCAGAAACUGCAAAUGUAAAGGGUUCUUCUGGUCAAGUUCCUGGAAAUGUGAAAGGUCAUCCUGGAAAAGGUCCUGCAAUGACCUCUCCUAAGACGUGAC